rnacentral:rRNA from 1 species
UCCUACGGGAGCAGCAGUGGGGAAUAUUGCACAAUGGGCGAAAGCCUGAUGCAGCCAUGCCGCGUGUGUGAAGAAGGCCUUCGGGUUGUAAAGCACUUUCAGUCAGGAGGAAAGGUUGGUAGUUAAUACCUCAUAUCUGUGACGUUACUGACAGAAGAAGCACCGGCUAACUCCGUGCCAGCAGCCGCGGUAAUACGGAGGGUGCGAGCGUUAAUUGGAAUUACUGGGCGUAAAGCGUACGCAGGCGGUUUGUUAAGCGAGAUGUGAAAGCCCCGGGCUCAACCUGGGAACUGCAUUUCGAACUGGCAAACUAGAGUGUGAUAGAGGGUGGUAGAAUUUCAGGUGUAGCGGUGAAAUGCGUAGAGAUCUGAAGGAAUACCGAUGGCGAAGGCAGCCACCUGGGUCAACACUGACGCUCAUGUACGAAAGCGUGGGGAGCAAACAGGAUUAGAUACCCCGGUAGUCCACGCCGUAAAGGAGGUGGCGAGAAGCUAAGAACCUCGGGUCU